rnacentral:lncRNA from 1 species
AGGCAUAUCAAUAAAUAAUAAUGUAAUGUGUAAUGACAAUAAUGACUAACUAAUAGACGAAAGAGUCUCGUAGUGGGUUUCUCUCGAUCAAAUUGUCUGUCUAUACUCUAGUUGCUUAUGGAUGCCACUCUAGUUGCUUAUGAUCCAUCAAUCAUUGUAUCUAUUUUGCAGCUAGCAUCAUAUGUAUCCUACAUCAAAAAGCCAAAAGUAAAUGAAAACCCACAUCCAAAAUGUAAACUAAAUGUAAUAACAUAAAAAGGUAUGACAGUGAAGAUAUAUGGAUUACUCACGCUUUUAACUCUUGUAUAGUAUAAAUUAGCAAAUUCAUCAACAAAGAUAAUAUUGAGGAGCAUAACAUAGCACAUCAAGUAGAAUUUUAAGCAACAUAUCAUAGCUAGAAAACAAUGACUUAAUAAUAAACAAUAUAUAAGGGUUAUUUUAAGAAUAAGUCGCUGCAUAGAAUGACAAUCGGUAGAAAACCCUUCAGUCAAUCUUGUAAAGAUAACUCGAGUUCUUCUCCUUGUCCUUUUCAUAUGCAGAAGACGAACCAUAUAAUUAAAGACCAUAAAUUCAUUUGCGUUGACUAUUUCUGCCAAUUCCUUUUCUUCUACUUUUAGUUAAUACCAAUGCUGGCUUCAAAUCAAUGUUUCUGAUGUGAUAAUAUCUCACAGUUUAUACCAAUCAAACUCAAUAAUUUCAUCAUAAUUCUAUAAGUUGACAUCCCUAUCUACUACGAAAUGACUCGAGACUACAUAAAAACAAAACAAAUUGCAUUAACACAUAAGAAAUAAUGAGAAAUAUAUAGAGAAUAGAUGUACUCCCAAGUAUGAAAACAUGAAUUGCAAUGGAAGAAGGUGCCAAUACUUUAACACUUCCUAACAGUUGUGAACGAUAUUCGUAGUUGCACUUAAAUACAUUAAUAUCGCUAUUGAAAAUUUAGUAAAAGUCCAUGUGAGGCACUUCUCCACCUCAUCCUCUGGUUUCUCCGGUGGCUUGUAAAAAGUGACUAAUUUACACCAAAUUGUUCAAUAAAUUUGACAAAAUAUGAGGAUAUAAAUCAAGCAUUACCCAAAGAAGAAGCUUUGGGUACCUGUAAAAUCGAGUAUCUGCUACAAAGAACUUCCACAAAAGGAGUAAAAAAAUUGAAAUUAGUGAUUAGUUUUUGUCAUUUGCGUGAGGUUUCUAUAUGGAAUGAAUGAUAAGAUCUAUGGAUAUAUUGAUCUCGAACCAACAGAUGCUCAAUGUGAAUCUUUGACUGCAUUGUAUUCUAUUUAUGGCAAUUUCUUCGAUCAACAUUUGAAUGUUUCAAUGGUUUGUGAUCUUUGGAUUCUAUAAUGACAAAUAUAUGACCAUCAAAUUUCAUUCACGUUCCAGCUGUAAUAAUUUCAUCAUUUCAAGUAAUCUGAUAGCUAAGAGUUUCCUUGUUUCAUCAUACAUAGUCUCUCGUAAUCUUUAAAUCAAUUUAAAACCAUUUCCAUCAUUUGUUCCAAAUUCUUGAUCAUCACCUGAAUAAGCUAGUCAUUGAAACCGUCACAAGCAGCAGCAGAAACAAUAUUUCUUUCCCUAAAACAUGAACCGGUAACAUAUAUAUUUUCUUGACAUAACAAACACAAACAAUAUGCAAAGAAAAUAUGAGGAAGUGGACUUGGCUUUAUAAUCAUAUGUAUAAAAAGUUUUAUUGAAGCAAACAACCAGAAACAAUGACAUCUUCUCAUUUAGGCAUAUCAUCAACCAACUUGCCAACAAUUGGAAAAUCCACCAAGUAACUACAUAUGCGCUCCAUUUCUAGGGUUUCUUGGGAAAAUUAUGACAUUAAUAUGAAAAGAUCAACCCACAUACUUGAGAUGAACCAAUAAAAAAAUUGAUUGUUACUUACCAUUUCCUCAUGAAUUCAAUUAGAUACAGGGAGCCAACCACGAUACAACAUCUCAAGAAAAAUGUUGUCUUGAUCUGUCACUUUUAUAUAAUUGAAUCUCAAAGGUAUACAAAGUAAAAGUAACUAAUGAAAAACUCUCAUCAAUCUAUUUUCCCUGUUGCAAUCGUUAAUCAGAAUUAGAAUUGGAAAAGAUGUAAAUUCUUAGCAAUAUAUUUUUCCCUGUUACAGUCAUUAAUCAUAGGUAGAAUUGGAGAUGUAUUUGGCAAAAAAAAUUAUAAUUACUAUCUGGAAAGAAAAUAUUAAUCCUGAACAUAUAUUUCACCCAAAUCGAGUUUCCAGAUUGAAGGAAAAACGACCAUUUGAAUAGAUUUUAACACGGGAAGAAAAUCCAUCGAUUGGAUUGACGGUAAACAGAAAAAACAAUUGGAAUCAAAUUAAGGUUCUUGAAGAUAACAUACCGGUGGGAAGAUGCUGACGGCAGAAAGAUCAAUGUUAUCAUUCUUAUUUAAUCCAACAUUCAGAAUAUUUGUUGUCAAGAAUUGGGCGAAUUUUAUAUUCGUCGCAUAAUAAUUGAUUUCCAUUUUCUGGAUGAUAUGUCAGAUUUUUCUUGAUGAGGAACCGUUCGUGCAUUUGGAGAGAUGUAGAACCGAUGGGUGAUCAGAAUUGGAAAAGGUAAGUGUUAGAAGGGAGGCAAUGAUCAGAAAGAUUUAAUCGACAUUUGUGCACGUUGUGUCGUUCCGAGAGUUGGAUACGUGGAGGAACUGUCACCCUAUGAAUUUCCUCUAGCCGGCACCAGAUUAAAAGGCUUUCAUAUAUAUAUNNNNNNNNNNNNNNNNNNNNNNNNNNNNNNNNNNNNNNNNNNNNNNNNNNNNNNNNNNNNNNNNNNNNNNNNNNNNNNNNNNNNNNNNNNNNNNNNNNNNNNNNNNNNNNNNNNNNNNNNNNNNNNNNNNNNNNNNNNNNNNNNNNNNNNNNNNNNNNNNNNNNNNNNNNNNNNNNNNNNNNNNNNNNNNNNNNNNNNNNNNNNNNNNNNNNNNNNNNNNNNNNNNNNNNNNNNNNNNNNNNNNNNNNNNNNNNNNNNNNNNNAUCAAUUAAAAAACACAAGAACAAUGUUAUUAUUGGUAAACAGAUAUAAGUGCAUUGCUAUUAUGGGUAAAAAAAAACUUAUAAAACUUCUUUAAAGAAAGGUUAAAACCUUCGACAUUCGAUUGAAAUAGUUAUUUUUAUCAUUAUUUGCAUUCAUGCAAAAUGUUUAUAUUAAUCUUACUUUAUUCAAAUAAAUGUUGUCUAUUCAUCAAGGUUCAAGGUUCAAGUAACUGGUUAACAAAAGACGUUAAAAAUUACAUCAUUAGUUUAAUCUUUUCAGGAGCUACUUUUUUGGAUUAUGAUAAACCAUAUGUUUUUGACGAGUUAUAGUUACACUCACAGUCUUGUAGAUAAACUAUGGUGCAUCAGAGGGCUGGAGAGAGAACUGGUAAGCAUGUUCACCCUCAACCUACAAUUUCAUUUAAAGUUUAGAAUGUAUAUAAAUCUUGUAAAUUGUGUUCACUAAGUGGCUAUACAUAUUCACCUGAAUAUCACAAGUAUGAAAAAGUUUCGUGUAAUUGGCUAUAUACUAAACAGGUCCAUGGAGUAUGGACUAUGUAUCUUGAGCCUUUGUUAGUCAUACAAUCUUACAUUAUAUUUUGUAUCUAACUAUCAGUUAAUUUAUUAAACUACAAAAUAUUUGCAAUAUUAAAAGAUACAUCUCAUGUUGAUAACAAAUAUAAUGAUUCUUUUAUACAAAGCAAAAAAAAAAAAAAGAACAAAAAAAGAUUAUCAUAACUUCCUUUCUUGUAAAAUAAUCCAACAAAUUGCAAAAGAUUAUAAUACUCACAGCUUAACCGAAAAUCAAAAUUAUGCAUAAAAUACAAAAGUUCCUUAUCUAGAUAGCACACAAUAGACGGAAAUCAUUAAUAAAAAAACAAAAUAAAGGCCAAGAGGUCAAUAACUCAUGAGGACUGUCUAUUGAUAGUAACUCAAAUAUACUUUAACCAUUUUUUAUCCUUACAAACUCAAGCCAUAGCAGGUGUUUGAAGUUGUGACCAAAGAUAGCAAUCCAAUUUCAAAUAAAUGAUUCUUCUUCUCUAGUUUUAAAAUUGAUGGUGGAAACUUACAUCCAAACACCACUAAUUAUAGUGGGUUAAUGACCCGAGAUGGAGAAAACCACAAGACCACCCAACUCUAUUUUUUACAUUGAACAGAGAAAAUCCAACUUAACAGUUGAAAGAAAAUCAUGAAUUAUCCUACUUGUAUAACUUGACAACUUUUAUAGGCAUUGUGGUUUCAUGGUCUUAUGGCUAUAAGGUCUUUUUUUCUUUUUCCGAUUGAAUACAUUGUUGGCAUGAGACUAAAUGACCAUUUUACCCCAGCACAAUCCAAACCAGCUUCACAAAAUCUUCCAGCUAAAGGGACAAAAAAAUAGUCAAGUGGUCAGAAACUUGAUCACUUUGUGUCAUCCCUCUAACCCAAGUCCUGCAACAAUUCUUCUUCCAUUUUUAUGCAUCUAAGAGCAUACUUACUACUUAAGUUUUUUUUACAUGCCUAGAUCAAUAGAUCAAGUUCAUAACAGGUUGUAACUUACUUUUUCUUUUUUAUCAUUGUUUAACAACUAUUGACUUUAGUAAGUCAAUCGAGUAGAUCACGUUCAUGCAUCGUUGCAAUGAAAGGUAAACCCUGCCUUUUUUCAAUCGCAUGAAACCAGUGAUAACACCAUGCACAAGGAAAAUAUAAAUUACCAUUAUAACCUCUCAGUAUUUAUGAAGCACCAAAAAGUCAAAAAGAAAAAUAAAAAAUUAAAACAUUAUGAUUAUAUAAGAAAUAAGUGUAUAUGACAAAUGACCAAAUUGGGUCUUUUACAUUUACCUUCGCCAAUAGAUGAUGUCAGAAGCAAGCCAUUUGUCUUGAUUUUGGAAAACAAUUAAUUAACAUUGAGGACUUGAACUUUAUGCAAGAAAACCAAUCUUCCUUCUAGUUCUAUCCAAAAUUUCAAGAUAUUGAAUACGAAUCACAUAGUCAAAUGUUGCUCAUUUAGAUCACACUACACAUGAAUUAUUAGCACAUAAAUUGCCCAAUUAGACUGCUUUUUUUAUGGCAGACGGUCAAAUAAGUUUCGUUAAAUUUAAACAUGAACAAAGAAACAGAAAAAUAAGCAUGUGAAAACAAAUUAUGAUGAACACCAAUUAGAUCAUGGAUCGACUGAACUGCCAAAGACGAAUCAUUUUUCUGGGGAGCACCGAAAUAUAUAAUUGUGUAAAUAUUUUUUAAUUAUUCAAAUAAAGAAAAUAUGCAGAUGUAUCCCUCUCACAGAAAUUUGAUCGUUCUGCAUCUAAUCCAACAUAUAGGAAUAUAAAUUCCAAAUCCCAAAUCUUGAAUAUAAAUCCGAUUAGAAAAAAGGAAAUCGGGAAAGGGACGAUACAGUAGAGUUAAAAAAAACCAACUGGAAUUAUUAUCAGUAUAUCAGGAAUUAUAUUGUUAUCAUUUCAUAAUUGUAUAUUCAAAAUUGAUUAUUGAACCAAUAAUUGAUGAAGGGUAUUUGGUAAAUAUAUAUAAGUGUAAAAAUCAAAAAAAAAAUAAAAUAACACCAUUUUGGGUUUGUUAAAAGAAAAAAGAGAAGCAGAAUGUCUGGAAUGCUCUCUUGCUCUCUGUACUCAUAACCAACAUAUAGGAAUGAUGAUGUAGCUGUGAAAUAUAAGCAAUUCUUAUUAGUCUUUUUGCAUUUUGUCAUUGAUAGCGAAUUAUGGAAAAUUAGAAAUAUAUCCAUUCAUAGUGUCUGUAAACCAAAUAUAAGUUAAAAGGUACUAUAAUGAUGAUGAUUGAUGAACUCUAAAAAAGCAUAUUUGGAUGUUGCAAUGUUUAGUUAUUUACCAGCUAUUAAAUUCAAGUUCUUUUAUGUUGGAAAAUUUUCAGGCAGAUGGGGGAAAUUGCAGUAAUUUGUACAAUAGGAUUACUUAUUUUCCUUCUUAAAUGCUGUCAAGAGUGGGAGUACUUAAAUGAACCAAUUAAAUUUGAAAUUAAUGUGCAUAUUAAGAUGUAAGGAAAAUGUAAUAUGCUGUAUAUUUGUUUGAAGGAAUUUAAAUUUCCCUUUUACACGAUUGAAAACAAAAAGGAAAAACAGAUUGCAAUAUGAUAUGCAUUUCUAGGAAUAAUACUGAGCUUUUAUAUACUUGAAUCUCAAGGAUAUACAAUGUAAAAGCAACCAAUGGAACAAAUUGUCCGCAAUAUUUUCCCCUGGUGCAAUCGUUCAUUAUAAUUACAAUUAGAAAAUAUGUUAACUAUCUGGAAUAAUUUAUCCAUGUGCAAUCGUUAAUCAUAAUUACAAUACAAUUGGACAAAAUUAUGCCUGAACGGAUAUUUCACCGAAAUGGAGUUUGCCGAUUGGAGGAAACACACCGGUCAAAUAAAUUUUAACGGGAUAGGAAAAUACAUCAACAGAUUAACGGUAAAGAAUAGGAAAGAACUAAAAUCAAAUUAGGGUUUGUGUAGAAAACAUACCAGUAGGAAGAUGAUGAUGGCAGAUGGAGAUGACGACAGGAGGAUCAAUGUGUCGUUCUUAUUUGAUUCAUAUUACGAAUGUUUGCGGUGAAGAUUAGGGGGAAUUGUGUGUUCGUUGCGUAAUAAUUGCAAUCCGUUUUGUGGAUGAUUUGGUUAGAUUUUGUUGAUGAGGUACCGUUGCGUGUAUUCGAAGAGGCGUAGAAUGAAGGAGUAAUUGAAUUUGGAAAAGGUGUAUGUCUGGGAUUGGGUANNNN